GGUGCACGACAACAAUUAAACACAAGCUCAUUUGCAGGUCAGUGAAACAUUGUUUCAAGUCAAGAAACAUAAGAAUGGUCUUUUUUUGGUGUGUGUGGUCACAUUGUGGCACAGCGAGCCACACAGCAUUGCCAGCAGCGAGGUGAGGCUGUUCUCACAACAGUCGCCAGAGUGCCGCUUUCAGCUCAACAUCAACAUGCAGUGAUGGCAUGGACUCAUUUUAUCCAUCAUUGGAUUGAAACCAUUUCAAGCAUGACGUCAAUUGAUAUUUUUUGAGAGGGGGGGGUGACCAAAAAACCGCUGCCAUACUUUGCUACUGGAGCCACAAAUUGUGUUUAAUUUUUGAAAUGGAGUGCCUGUGAUUUGAACAGCGUUCCAUGCAUGAUGGCGCUCAUAUUCUUCCAUUCCAGAAACAUACACUAGCUCGUGUUCCCUUUUAACAAGCGUGUCCAAGACAGUGACAGACACAAAAACAAACUACAAGUCUGAGCUUCUCUUUUGCUGUGUUGGAAUGGGAAUUUUAUCUUUGGAGGUGUAAGUCGUUUGGAGUAACAACAUCAGAAGAAAUGGGCAGAAUGUGGGUUCAAUAUAAACACGUCAUGAUAACGACCCAGGAGGGUGUUUUUUGCAGCAUUAAUUUCACAAGAUUAAAAGCUUUUGUGGUGAGUAAACGAUAAAUGAUAAAUACAUCGUUGAAAAAUAAAUAUUUAAAUGAUAAACAUUCAUAUCGACAGUGCCUACUUUGCUGGUGGCAUGAAUACACGGAAAACAAAACAGUCAACAUCCCAAAAAAAGAAAACAAUCAUUAGGCGGCUUGAAUUUUCGAUUGCCUUUCCCCCUCCAGGCAAUUUCUGUGCAGCGUUUGUACAACGACAGAGGUCACAAUCAAUGUGUUUCACAUUUGCACAUUCUGUCUUUUGCCCUUUGCGAGCAAUACAUUGUUUG